AUCACUUUUCAGUCUUUUGGCUAAGAUCAAGUGUAGUAUCUGAUUAUCAGCUUGAUAUCUGAUAUGUCUUCUAUCUGAGGAGAAUAUAUUAAAUAGAUUUUUGAAGCAGGGAGAUAGAAUAGGAGCUUGCUCUGUCCACUCUCUGCAUCUGCCUGGUAUUGAAGUACUUCCAGGAAUGGUGCACCCCCU
ensembl:snRNA U2 U2 spliceosomal RNA